rnacentral:rRNA from 1 species
CUUCCUACUUGGAUAACUGUGGCAAUUCUAGAGCUAAUACAUGCAGUGAGCCUGGAGCCCUUUGGGUAACGGGUGCUUUUAUUAGACCAAGAUCGAUCGGGUUUCGGCCCGUAUUGUGUGGUGACUCUGGAUAACUUUGUGCUGAUCGCAUGGCCACGAGCCGGCGACGAUUCUUUCAAGUGUCUGCCUUAUCAACUUUCGAUGGUAGGUUACUUGCCUACCAUGGUUGUUACGGGUAACGGAGAAUCAGGGUUCGAUUCCGGAGAGGGAGCCUGAGAAACGGCUACCACAUCCAAGGAAGGCAGCAGGCGCGCAAAUUACCCACUCCCGGCACGGGGAGGUAGUGACGAAAAAUAACAAUACGGGACUCUUUUGAGGCCCCGUAAUUGAAAUGAGUACACUCUAAAUCCUUUAACGAGGAUCAAUUGGAGGGCAAGUCUGGUGCCAGCAGCCGCGGUAAUUCCAGCUCCAAUAGCGUAUACUAAAGCUGCUGCGGUUAAAAAGCUCGUAGUUGGAUCUCAGUUCCAGACGAGUAGUGCAUCUACCCGAUGCGACGGCUCGGACUGAACAUCAUGCCGGUUCUUUCUUGGUGCACUUCAUUGUGUGCCUCGAGAUGGCCGGUGCUUUUACUUUGAAAAAAUUAGAGUGCUCAACGCAGGCGAGUCGCCUGAAUAAACUUGCAUGGAAUAAUAGAACAAGACCUCGUUUCUGUUCUGUUGGUUUUUGGAAUACGAGGUAAUGAUUAAGAGGGACGGACGGGGGCAUUCGUAUUGCGGCGCUAGAGGUGAAAUUCUUGGACCGUCGCAAGACGAACUACUGCGAAAGCAUUUGCCAAGAAUGUUUUCAUUGAUCAAGAACGAAAGUCAGAGGUUCGAAGGCGAUCAGAUACCGCCCUAGUUCUGACCAUAAACGAUGCCAACCAGCGAUCCGCCUGAGUUACUCAAAUGACUCGGCGGGCAGCUUCCGGGAAACCAAAGUAUUUGGGUUCCGGGGGAAGUAUGGUUGCAAAGCUGAAACUUAAAGGAAUUGACGGAAGGGCACCACCAGGAGUGGAGCCUGCGGCUUAAUUUGACUCAACACGGGAAAACUUACCCGGCCCGGACACUGGGAGGAUUGACAGAUUGAGAGCUCUUUCUUGAUUCGGUGGAUGGUGGUGCAUGGCCGUUCUUAGUUGGUGGAGCGAUUUGUCUGGUUAAUUCCGAUAACGAACGAGACUCUAGCCUAUUAAAUAGGUGCGGGGUUCCCAGCACCUUACAACCUUCUUAGAGGGACAAGCGGCUCCUAGCCGCACGAAACAGAGCAAUAACAGGUCUGUGAUGCCCUUAGAUGUCCGGGGCCGCACGCGCGCUACACUGAAGGAAGCAGCGUGUCUUUAUCCCUGUCUGAAAAGACUGGGUAACCCGUGGAACUUCUUUCGUGAUUGGGAUAGGGGCUUGCAAUUGUUCCCCUUGAACGAGGAAUUCCCAGUAAGCGCGAGUCAUAAGCUCGCGUUGAUUACGUCCCUGCCCUUUGUACACACCGCCCGUCGCUACUACCGAUUGAAUGAUUUAGUGAGGUCUUCGGACCGAUGUCCGGCGCGGCCUUUCGGUUGCGCCGGUCUGUUGGAAAGAUGACCAAACUU